AGCGAACGCUGGCGGCAGGCCUAACACAUGCAAGUCGAACGAACCUUUCGGGGUUAGUGGCGGACGGGUGAGUAACACGUGGGAACGUGCCUUUAGGUUCGGAAUAACUCAGGGAAACUUGUGCUAAUACCGAAUGUGCCCUUCAGGGGAAAGAUUUAUCGCCUUUAGAGCGGCCCGCGUCUGAUUAGCUAGUUGGUUGAGGUAAUGGCUCACCAAGGCGACGAUCAGUAGCUGGUCUGAGAGGAUGAUCAGCCACAUUGGGACUGAGACACGGCCCAAACUCCUACGGGAGGCAGCAGUGGGGAAUCUUGCGCAAUGGGCGAAAGCCUGACGCAGCCAUGCCGCGUGAAUGAUGAAGGUCUUAGGAUUGUAAAAUUCUUUCACCGGGGACGAUAAUGACGGUACCCGGAGAAGAAGCCCCGGCUAACUUCGUG
rnacentral:rRNA from 1 species